GUAGGUGAACCUGCGGAAGGAUCAUUAUCACGUAUCCACGUAUAAACCAUUGUGAACUGUAUUCUAUCCUUUGGAGAGAGUGAGGUAGCUGGGAUUGUAAACAUAUUGAAACUCUUGUGAUUUGUUUCAGUUUAUUAAUCUCCUACGGCUUUCGGGCUGUACUCAUUCACUUCAAAGUGUAUUUUUAAAUCACUAAUUUGUAUUAACAACUUAAACUCAAUUCUAUAAACUUUGAACUGACUUAUUUCUU
rnacentral:misc_RNA from 1 species